GUGCCAGCCGCCGCGGUAAUACGGAGGGUGCAAGCGUUGUUCGGAUUUACUGGGCGUAAAGCGCGCGCAGGCGGAUUGGCAAGUCAGAUGUGAAAUCUCGGGGCUCAACCCCGAAACUGCGUCUGAAACUGCUAGUCUAGAGUUUCAUAGGGGGUAGGGGAAUUUCACGUGUAGGGGUAAAAUCCGUAGAAAUGUGAAGGAACACCCGUGCGAAGGCGCCUACCUGGAUGAACACUGACGCUGAGGCGCGAAAGCGUGGGGAGCAAACAGGAUUAGAUACCCGUGUAGUCC
rnacentral:rRNA from 1 species